CCUACGGGUGGCAGCAGUGGGGAAUAUUGGACAAUGGGCGAAAGCCUGAUCCAGCCAUGCCGCGUGUGUGAAGAAGGCCUUCGGGUUGUAAAGCACUUUCAGUGGGGAAGAAAGCCUUGGGGCUAAUACCCUCGAGGAAGGACAUCACCCACAGAAGAAGCACCGGCUAACUCCGUGCCAGCAGCCGCGGUAAUACGGAGGGUGCGAGCGUUAAUCGGAAUUACUGGGCGUAAAGCGCGCGUAGGCGGUCUGAUAAGCCGGUUGUGAAAGCCCCGGGCUCCACCUGGGAACGGCAUCCGGAACUGUCAGGCUAGAGUGCAGGAGAGGAAGGUAGAAUUCCCGGUGUAGCGGUGAAAUGCGUAGAGAUCGGGAGGAAUACCAGUGGCGAAGGCGGCCUUCUGGACUGACACUGACGCUGAGGUGCGAAAGCGUGGGUAGCAAACAGGAUUAGAUACCCUAGUAGUC
rnacentral:rRNA from 1 species